rnacentral:rRNA from 1 species
UACAGAGGGUGCGAGCGUUGUUCGGAAUUAUUGGGCGUAAAGGGCGCGUAGGCGGCGCCACAAGUCACCUGUGAAAACUCUGGGCUCAACCCAGAGCCUGCAGGCGAAACUGUGGUGCUGGAGUAUGGGAGAGGUGCGUGGAAUUCCUGGUGUAGCGGUGAAAUGCGCAGAUAUCAGGAGGAACACCGGUGGCGAAGGCGGGUCUCUGGGCCGAUACUGACGCUGAGGAGCGAAAGCGUGGGGAGCGAACAGG